UCUCAGAACAGUUUUGUGGUUUGUCAUAAAGUUCAAGAUAAAUUCCAGUAAAUCAGUGUAAAUGACAAACUUUAGACUUGAAAUGGUCAUUUGGGCGGUCUUUGAUUGAGAUGUGGAUUAAUCAUUAAAGCUUUGGACUCAGUGUAAUGUGGUGCUAUAUAAACAUGUGCUUUAAUUUUAGCAGCGGUGGAGUGCGAGUACUAAACCUGAAAUGUAAACUGCAUCAGGAAGAUUAAUGUAAAAAUUAGUGAAGGGAAGUUAAUGUUUGAAAUAAUGAAAAGUAGCUAAACCAGUUGAAUCUCUUUCUCCAAUUACUUCAUUGUCAAGAAGUUUGAUUUUUCCUUUUAUCCGGAUGACGCAAACAAUCUCUUCUGGGAUUACAGGGAAUCAGGUUUGAGAUUUCAGUCGCUGUUGUUUGCACUGAAGUAGUUUUAGGAGCAGAAAUAUUAACAUCUCUGUCAACUUUAAGUUCUGGUGUAAUGCUGUUCACUGAGAGAUGUGAAGUUAAGACAUGAAGAUGACGAGACACAUUAAAGAGAUAAAACUGAGAGAAAAUCUAACAGAAGAGAAGCUGAAAAAGAAACCAUUGAAAGAUGGAGAGGCGGUGGAGGACCGAGCUAAAUAUGUCUGUGACUUCAGUGAACAUUUAAAAGUGCUCCAGAAGAACAGCAUUGAUCAAUUUCAACCAAAUUUUUCUCUUAAUGCAGACAGAUCUGUGAGUCAUUCUGAUGACUGAAAGUUAAAGAUGAGAAAUCUGAGCUUCAUCUCAUCUAACUGUCAGAAAGUUCAUCAUGAAAGUUCAACCACAGAUGUUCAUCUCUAAACAAGAUUUUCCUCUGAAAACGCUCAGAUUUAGUGAUUUAUGGCUACAUCUAUAUACUGUCUACAUGUCAUAUAUAGUGCUUAUAUAGUGUAAAACUCAUACUUACAUGCAGAGUUAAAGCUAAAGUUAAUGUGUUCAGUGUCAAAGUCUUUCAAUGUAAAAACUUACACUUAGUUUAUUACAGUAUGUUAAUAUUAUUACUGUGAUUUUACUCUUACUGUGAACUUACAGAUGAUACGCAAAAAGAUGAAACAUAUUUUACAAAAUAUUUGUCAAUGAGAAGGUGAUUAAUCCUUUAAUCCUGAUGUUAUAUACUGUAGGAGACAAACCCUUAAUAGUGUUCAAGGGCACAAUGAUGAAAUCUCAGUGUCUAUUAUUCAUUUCAAUGAAAAGAAAAGUACAGUAAGAUGUUGUGUAAGCUGAUAUAAGUGUCAAAGUCUAUUUCUGCUUCAUAUGUGGAGUAAUAAUCUAUUACACUGUAUUCUGUUAAACCUGAAACUGUGAAUGUUGUGUAAAUCUGAUCAUCACACAUGAUGUAAAUGUCUUAACAACCUUUGUUGUACAGUUUAGACUCUUUUACACUUACAAUAAAAUAUUUUAAUAGCAAACAACACAGUAGACAUUAAUGUGAAUGUUGUUUAUUUGUGGUUGUAAGGGUUAAGUGAAGGUGAGAGAGUGCUUGGGUUUGGUAAAGAUUAAGAAAUACAGGAAGUGAUGUCAUUAAAAAACAAUCUACUGUAUUAUUCACAAGAAAGAAGGAGGAGUCAAAUUUCAUCAUCACUUGAAUACGUGUUUAGAUUUAAUUCACUCUAAUAAUGGUGUUAAAUAGCAGUAAAAGUGAUUCACUGACUCAUAAUCAUUUUUAGUGCUAAACAUCACCGUGUAGAAUCAUAUUGUGUUAUAUUGAACCAUAAGUGAUGCUAUAGUCAUGUUUUAACACAACUCAUGGUUGUUAUAUAGAUGUUAUAUAGGUGUUAAAAAUGGUUUCUCUAUGAUAACAAGCUUUUAGUUUUAUUUAGCACCAAUUUUUAGUGUGUAGUCAUGCAUAAAAUAACUAAACGAGUGUGCGAUCUAAAUCCUGCUGACUAUAACAUAUAGUAAUACUUUGUUACAGCCUGUAGGAUUUAGAUCACACGCUGGUUUAGUUGUGUCAUGUGGUGAUUCUGGUUUAACUUGUACACAGUUGAGGGAAAAUUCUCUGCAUUGACUCGUCUUUAACAUUUAAGUCUUCUUCAGACCUUAUAAGGUUCUUAGAUGACUUUUUUAAAGUUUAUUAAUGGUGCCGUGAGUACUAAAAUAACCACAUAACUUUUAUCAUGUGUGUGAUUCUUUUUGUGAACUGUUUUCAUUGAACAGAAACAAAGACAACAUUGGGUUCAGUUAUGUGAAGCAGGGCAUGAAUGUGAGAUAUGACGUCAAUUCAAAUGUUGUGAAUGAAUAGAAAUGAAUUUAAUUAACUCUCUAGUUCCUGGUUGAAUUGGAUUCUAAACGUUUGCUAAACUGUUAACAGGCUUCUCUAAGUUAAAGAGUAUAAACAGUUUUAGUAUAUAUAAAAUGAGAGUAACUGAAUGAACUUUUAUACACAACACUGCAUUUUUGCAUCUUUUUUAUUGUGGAGAUGAACAGAAUUGAAUGAUCAGGGUUCAUGUUUAAGCGUUCAUCUGAAGAGUGACUUUAAAGAAAACUAUUAUUGACAACAAAACAGCAUUGACAAUACUAAUAAAGGCUUUUUAAAAUCAGUUUUUAUGUUUUGCCCACAAAGCUUUGAUUUUCUGCUUUGAUUUCAUUAAAUGGUAAAGUUGAUGAUAUAUAGAGAUGAUGUAGUGCACUUAAAUGUUAAAAGAUUAAUAAGCAAGUAUUAUAUUAAUCAGUACUGAUGUUGACAUUUAUUCUAAUAGUUUAUCUUGCGUCACAAUAAGGAAAUAUCUGUUUGUUUAUUCUGUUUAGCCUGAAGAACAUAUUUAAAGAAAUGCAUUCAAAUAUAUUGACGUAGUAGUGGGUGUAGUCUCUCUCUCUCUCUCUCUCUCUCUCUUCAUAUCUCAAUCAUUGUGGUGAUAUCACAGCAUUCGUAACACAGAGAUCACAGACAGCUAAUGUGGAUAUUUCUAAACCUCAUCGAUUCAUCGCACAGCACAGUGAUUAUAAGCGAGCAUCAGAGGUCCAAGAUCAAGCAUCAAUGAGGAAAACAGAUGGACGACCAGGAUAAAGAUUAUUCAUGGCUGAAAAGUCAAGUACGAAGAGAAAGCAUGGAAAUAAAAAUUAAUUACCUCCUACUGAAUGCAGACAGAUGUUUAGAGUUUCAGUGUGAUGAUUGUGAGAUGUUUUUAGAUGAUCUUCAUCAGUCAGUACAUUAUGAUCUCCUCAUAGACAGACUCAUCUUUCUGCUGAUGUAUGCUGGAGUAUGAUGAAGGAUUAACAUUGACUGAUGUUGUUGUUGAACCUUACAAGAAUUUAAAGCAUAAAGAGAAAACACUGGCGAUGUGUUGAUGUUUUGAAGGAUUAACUGCAUGUUCAGUAUUUCUCUCUAAUUUAAAGCUCUUUGAAAUGAGACAUGAGACGAGAUUAAAACCUGUAACAGUUUUAAAACUAUGAGAACCACCAUCACAAUGUCAUCGUCUUCACCGUUUCUUGCAUUAAGAAUGAUGAAGAAUGAAACGCGUUUUUGCUGAAACAAAAACAAUGAACACCACAUGUGUGUGUUUGCUAUUUCUGUUACAAUUUACACAAAUUUAACAUAAUGGAGGUAACAAUGUAAUCAGUGAAAUUAUGUUCAACUUAAUUUUAAUUGCUGUGAGUAAAUAGACUAAUAAUGUAUACAUGCUGAAAACUAAUAAUAUUUUUAAUAAGCACUUUAUUUUUGUACAUUUAUAAGAUAUGUGUUUCUGUACAGUUCAGUGGUCGGGUUGUGUUUGCACUAAAUGUAAACUUGUUUUAUUUUUGUAAAAGAUCAAAUCUGUGUCAUGCAUUAUUAAUCUUAUGUCUGUCUUAUGUUUGUUCCUGUUGCUCAGUUGAGCAUUGCAAUAUUGCAAAGGUUGUGGGUUUGUUUUAGAGACAACACAUAAUGGGUAAAAAUAUAGUUUACUGUAAAUAUACUGUAAGUCAAUCUGGAAUAAAGUGUCUGCCAAAUGCAUUAAUGUAAAGUCUUCAGUUUGUUUCAUUUGAGUUACAAAAUAAGAGCUUUUUUCUUUCUGACUAUUAAAUGUAACUAAAUGUCGCCACCUUGAGCAAAACUC